AGAUUGAACGCUGGCGGCAGGCUUAACACAUGCAAGUCGAGCGGGGAAGGGUAGCUUGCUACCUAACCUAGCGGCAGACGGGUGAGUAAUGCUUAGGAAUCUGCCUAUUAGUGGGGGACAACAUUCCGAAAGGAAUGCUAAUACCGCAUACGUCCUACGGGAGAAAGCAGGGGAUCUUCGGACCUUGCGCUAAUAGAUGAGCCUAAGUCGGAUUAGCUAGUUGGUGGGGUAAAGGCCUACCAAGGCGACGAUCUGUAGCGGGUCUGAGAGGAUGAUCCGCCACACUGGGACUGAGACACGGCCCAGACUCCUACGGGAGGCAGCAGUGGGGAAUAUUGGACAAUGGGGCGCAAGCCUGAUCCAGCCAUGCCGCGUGUGUGAAGAAGGGCUCGGGUUG
rnacentral:rRNA from 1 species